AGCCCCCCGGGUGCCCCAGAGCCCCCCGGGUACCCCAGAGCCCCCCGGGUGCCCCAGAGCCCCCCGGGCCCUGUUCCAGCUCGGGCUGUCCGGGGUGAGCCCGGCCGGGCUCGGCCGCCUGGAGCUCGGUUCCCUCAGAGCCCCUGCUCGCCUGGACCUGCCGCGGAGCCGCCUCAGGUUUUAUCUGUGCUCUGAAACACUCCUGAAACACCCUGCUGUGUCUUGGAUAGCCUAAUGUUAGAUAUCUCAGAUACUGCAGAUACUGGUUUCUUAAGAAGCUGUUAAAACUGCUGGGAUGACGAAUUAAAGUGUUCUGUAUCUGUUAUAAGAAAACAGUGGAGAGAACCUGAUGCUAAUGAAAGGCUGAUUUCCCAGCCCUGGGGACUCGAGCUGUGCUUCCCCAGUGAACAGCUCUGGAUUUGUGCUCACCAGCACUCCUGAGCCCCCCUGUGCUGGCUGCAGCUCCAGCUGCUCCCAUCUGUGCGUGGAUCCUGCUCUGGGCGGUGCUGCUGCUCCUGAGACAGCAGAUUUUAGUGUAAAUAAAUUCACGUGAGAAGUACACAAGAGAGAAGGACUUGGA